rnacentral:rRNA from 1 species
CCUACGGGAGGCAGCAGUGGGGAAUAUUGGGCAAUGGAGGAAACUCUGACCCAGCGACGCCGCGUGCGGGAUGAAGGCCUUCGGGUUGUAAACCGCUUUCAGCAGGGAAGAAGCGAAAGUGACGGUACCUGCAGAAGAAGCACCGGCUAACUAUGUGCCAGC